GUGCUUAGGUCAUGAAUGGGGAGUCCUCAUGAAUGGGAUUAGUGCCCUUAUAAAAGAGACCCCCCCAGACCUCCCUUGUCCUUUCUACCAUGCGAGGACACAGCAAAGUCAUUGGCUAUGAACCAGAAAGAGGGCCCUCACCUGACCAUGCUAGUGUCUUGAUCUGGACUUCCCAGCCUCUAGAAUUGUGAGAAAUAAAUUUCUGUUGUUUAUAAACUACCCAAUCUAAGACGCUGAUGAACAAUCCUAUUGACCCACUUGAGAAAUAUUAUCCAGACUUUUGUUGACAUUGCCAUUCAGACUUUUUGGUGCACUAACAGCUGAGGCCAGGGAGGAAUUUUAAGAUCCCAGAAAUUAGUUCUGAUUCUGUGGACCCAGUAUUAAUAACAUGGAAUUCUUAUCAGCAAAGAAAGAGAAGCACUCAUUCAACAGUUGUACUGAGUACCUGUUAAGGGAGAGGCACUAUUCCAGUGAUGAGGAAGAUUCUCGAAAGUCCCUACCCUUAGGGAGCUUAUAGCCUAGUGGGGAGACAGACACUGAUAUAAUAAAAUGCCAAAUAAUGAUAAGUGCAAUGAAGAAAAAUAAAGCUGAGUGAAAAGAGUAACAUGGGGUGCUACUUUGUCUGAAGAUCAGAUCAGAGAUGACACUGCAACAAAGUGAGAGCACCAGCCAUGUGCAGAUCUGGGGGAAGAGCAGAAAGGCAAAGGACUUGGGGUGAGAACAAGCUUGGUGCAUUCACAUCAGUGUGGCUACAGCAGCAAGUGGUGGGUGAUGAGGUUGGAAGGGUGGGCGGGGGCAGAUACUGUAGGGCCGCGUAGUCCAUGCCAAGGAGUUGGGGUUGUAUCCUAAAUGUGGUGGGAGCCACUGGAGGAGCCAUUGGCGGUGGCAGCAGUGAUAUCAAUUUUAAAGUUUUAUAAGAUCUCUGGUUUCUGUGUGGAACAUAGACAGAAUGGCGAACUAGAAGCUGAAUGAUUGGGUAGGCGUUCACGAAAGCUUGUCCUCUGGUGGUAGCGGUGGAGGUGGUGUGAGCCAUGGACGGAUUUGGGAUAUAUUUUGAAGGGUAAUGCACUGGAUUGGAGACCAAGGGGAAGAGAGUUUCAAUAAAAGGGUAGGAACUAAUAGUAAGAAUCCUCAGAAAUAGGGAGAGUGAAGACUGAGAAAAAGGCCUGGAAUUGGACAAUAAGUCAGCUGCUAUUCUUACAUAGAAAUAAGAAUAUCAAGAGUGAGCUUUGUGAGAAGUGCAGGUAGAGUGUUGGGGAGGAAGCUGGACAGCAGAGAAGUGAGGGAGGGAGUGUGUGGUGAGGAAGGUCAGGCGACAGACCCAAGCUGGCCCCUUUCAAAGUCCUGGCCUCACUGUGGCCAUGCGGCUCGCUCUGUCAUCAGCUAUAGGUCUGAAUACAGAGGGAGAUUCACUUUUCAUCUUCUAAACUCUUUAAGGAACAUCCAUUUACUUCUGUCUCCCUACCCGAUAGGGAAUAGCCUGAGACUCAAAACGUUAUAACAAGGGCAGAAACUGUACUUUUAAUAUUCAGAGAGGAUGACCUUAUUUAUUUAAAUGUAAAUCACAAAUCAAAGUUUAUGCAUGAUUAUCUUUGGGGACAUUGGUCUCUAUCAUUCCCCAUCUCUUGGAAAUGGCUGUUCCAAAUUAAUUAAACUCUCAAGGGAGCAGAGGAUUCAUGUAGAAGGCUGAUAAUUGAAUUAAUAGCUCCCUAGACCUUGUGAUACAUUUUUCACAAAGGAAACCAAAAUAAGUUACGUCAGCAAUUCUGUUGGUUUGAUCAUUUCAAAGGGAUUGGUGUUUUCCUUUUGGGUUCACCUGCCACCAGGGGAUUUGUCAACAUGUUUCAAAGCAAUUGAGUGAGUUGCCGUGAUUGGUAAAAACAUAUACAGGAGCUGCAGGACUUGGCACUUACGUAAAUAGAGUCAUUUAGCUUCCUCUUGGAGAAUAAGCAAGGUCGUAAUAAGGGGAUUGAAGGUAAAUUUGGUGAGAAGCGUUCACAGAUUUCAAUAAAAGGAUUUUGCCUUCCUUUUCUCAUCCUUUUUACUCUGUGCAGAUAAGCAAUUAGAAAACACUACUGUAUGCUCAGGACCGUGUGGUGCUUACAGAAUCAUAGUCCCUGGGAUCAGCAAGGGAAGAGCUGGUUGGGUGAACAAGAUGAGCACAUAAGAAUCAAUGAUAAACAGUCUAAGGUCGUAUAUAAGGAAGGGCUAAACCAUGUGCAACAGAAUAUGUUAAAGAAUGUUCCGAUCGCAUGGAAUUGUUUAUCGUUCCCUGAGAAUACUAGGCCUUUUUCAGGUUUAUGGAAGGUCAAUUAAAUAUUUUAUAAUUAAGAGAGCCAUAAUUAUAUAGAUUCCAUGCCCUCACACCUCAUCUUUUUAUUUUCCAGAAAAUUAAGUCCAAACACCUUAGCUUGGCAUCCAAAUAAUGGCUGAAGACUUUUUUGGGGUGUAAAGGCUAGGAAAGACAACUCAAACUGACUUUGGCAGAAAAGGAAAUUCAUCAGUCAUCUAACCAGUCCGGUGGCAGGGUGGGGCGUCUACUUUCAUGCAUGACUUCAUCUAGGAGCUCAGUUUCUCCCCCAGCUCUCAGUGAAGCCUUCUCCUGCAUUGCCUUCAGGCUCAGACUCUACAUGUUAGCUCCUGGCAACCCCAGGCUCACAUUCCCAACAGACAAAGAGCAUGAGGUUCUUCCCUCAGAGGCCCAGCAGAAGGUUCAUUGCAUCUCUUGGUUCUGAUUGGAUCAAAUGUCUGUCUCUGAACCAAUGACUAUAGUCAACAGGAGGCGAUGCUCUGAUUCGCCAGACCUUAUUAACAUGGCUUCCCGUGGAUAUUCUUUCACUGUCUUUAGGACAGCAAACCAGCACACUUUAAGCAGAAGAUUCCUCAGUUAGGCCUUGUAUCUCCAGCUUCGUCUCUUGCUAUUCCGUGUUCAGCCCCCAGUGUUCCAAUCCCAAGGAAUUAAUUCCUGUCCCCUAAGAACCCCAGGUCGUUUUCAGGAUUAUGAUCUCGUGUCUAUGCAGUUCCCACUGCCUGUGAUGUCAUUUCCUCUCUUCAGAAAAACUCAGUCUCAUUGUUCAAGAUCCAGCUCCUGCCUGACCUGAGCUGAUGAAGGGUCCUCCAAGAAGUGUGAUAAAGAACAUACAUCAGAUGUUGGGUAUAAACCCUCUUCAGUGAGAGUAGUCAUCAGCUCCGUCCUCACCCCAGAGGUGUCCAGACAGAUCAGCUCACUUUGUCAGCUCAGAACUUCAGGGAGCUAUAGGACCCCAGUGAAGAUAUGAAGUUAUCACAAGCUAACAACUGUAACAUCUGUUAACACGAGAUAAAAUAAGAGUUGGCAAGGGCCGCUGAUUAUUUUGCUAGUGGGAGGGUUAAACUUCUGCUGAUUAACGCACUGGGGGUCCUGUGUGGCACGGUGCUUACAUAAUUAUGUCAUUGGUCUUGAAAUGAGCAUCUUACUUUCAGAGAUGCUUCAAAGGCAAUUGUUUUACUUUGUCCUGGAACCUGAGACCCUCACAAAGACAGCUGGGCCCACCUGUUGUCAGCAAACGUGUCUUUUAGGAAUUCCCCAAGUAUCACAUCCAGAUGUAUAACAAAGGGCUGUACGUGGGAAAUCAUUUAUGCUGUGGGUGUGAGUAGAGGGUCACAAACUCAAGAGUACGGGAGAGAUCAUAUUUAUUUAUUUCUCCGUUAACAAUUUAAUUCUGACUUUGCGAUACAUCACGUUUUGCUGGGCUGUAACCUCAGCUAUCUGUGGGGCUCCCUUCACUGUGGUUUUGCUAAGGUUCUAGGAGUCAGGAUGGCCCCCCUGGCGUCAAACAUCUGUCCCUAUAUUAUCCCAGCCCAUGCCAUCAAUACACUGAUUGGUGUCUUUGGUUUGACACUGGGCACACGAGAAAUUGUGUCAAGGCUGGGAGACCUGGGGCCUUGAUUUCUCCAAGGUUCUGCCACAUCUUCUUGGUACCGCCCGGGACUAACUCUUAGAUUCCAGGAACGACACAGCCCUCUCCUCCUUCCAGCCUAUUUGUGUUUACCCUUGGAAUAUCUUUCCCUUUCUCCCUCUUUCCAUCAGAAGCAUGCACCUAGACUCCUCCUUCUUCUGACCCUGGAGAACCUAUUUUUAUCUUGGGAAAUCCUUCUCUUUUCUCAUUUCUUCCUUACAAGUACCUCCAUCUCCUUAUACCCGUUACUCUCAAUGGGCUUUUACUUCUGCAAACAAAAGCCAAGAAGGAAAGUUUCCAUAGGCGAUCUUUGUUUCUUUCCCUGAAGGGGAAGAGAAAAUAGAAUAUGUGGGGUGAAAAUUAUAAAUUGCUAUCACAAAAAAAUUAUCCUAGCAUAGACACGUGUAUAUUCUCAAAGGCAGGUGCCUGAUUAAUUCAUUUUUGCACUGAGCAGAAAAACAAAACACUAGACAAAAGAACCUGCAAAUCUUAUGCAGUGAGUGAUUUAUGAACUUAUCAGUGUCCAAGGUAAAAGAGAAACUAUGUUUAAUGUGUCAAUGGGGAAAGAGCGAAGAGAGGACCAGCUUCCCAGAAAUCUUUCAAGGAACCUAUAAUUGUUAUGCUUCCACUUCCAAAUUGUACGAUUUUACCCAUAUGAUCGUAUAUAUGAAAUUUAGUGAUUUCUGUAGUCAUCAUCUCUAUUAGCACUGGCCAAAUCAUCUACGUUAUAGUGGUUUUCAUAGAGGUCCGUAUUUAUAAACACAAACAACAGAACUAAUAGCCCUUCUUGAGACCUCUGCAUUGGACAUGAGUGACCACUCUUUUUUGAAACUCUCUUCUCCCUUGGAUUCCUUAGAAGCACUGUUUCAUGCUUUCUUCCUGCCUUUCUGAUCUUCCCUCCUUGAAAUCCUUCAUGAGGGUUUUUCCUUUAUUCGCAUCUGAGUAGUUACCGGUGUGCAAUUCCAGGCUUCCACUCUUGGUCCUCUGUUCCUCUCUCAAGAUGAUCUCACUCACUCUCCAGUUUUAACUGCCAGUCUGCUAAUGACUCAUCCCUGCCCCACUGAGCUUUGGACCCUUACAUCCAAAUGCAUGCUGAACACCCCCAUUUGAAUGUCCCAUUGCACCUCAAACUCAACAUUUCCAAAGCGGAAUGCCUCAACUUCUAUCCCACUAACUUGUACCCCUCUUCAUGGUUCCUUUUAUCAUUCACAGUUGCAAUUCCCACCCCGGCUCCUUAAUCUUGACCAGUCCACCCAGGCACACAAAAUGGAUACCUAUUCUCAGUAGUUGCAACAGCUUCUCCAGAUUUACUUCUCAUCUCCUUGUCAUUACUCUCAUCUAACUGGCUCUGGGACUCCAGGUUCGAUUGCGCUCUUUGCUUCUGACUCUGCCAGUUUAGUAAUCUUUGGUCUUCCCUUUUGCUUCUUGGACUUCAACUUCCCUUUUAAUACUUGACUCUGUUCUGUCUCUCUAAUUAUAUUGUCCAUGCAAUCUUGGAAGAAAACUCCCUCAACCGGUCAGGCUAACUUUCUAGGCUGCCUUCCACUGGUGAAGGAUGAGCCAGACUCCUGACUUCCAGACUUUCCUUGACGUCCUCACAUGGGGUUAACCACUAAGCCAUCACUGAACCUGUUCUGGACUCUCCUUUACAUCCCUCUGACAUUGCCUUGGCUUAAGCCCUCAUCCAGUCUUCCCUGGAUUCUUCAAACAGCUUCCACGUGUUCUCCAGUCUCCUAUUUUGUUCCCCACAUGGCAGCCAGAAUGAUUGUUUGAAAAUGCACUGCUGAUCAUUCCUUUGCUUAAAACUCAUCAGCAAAUAUUUGCAACCCUGAUAUCUCAUCAGAAAAAAAAAAUCCAUGAAACGUUUUAAAUAUAUUGAUUUUGGCUUCCACUCCAGAGACGCUAAUUCAGUGGAUCUGAGAUAGAGCUUUGGCAUCAGUGUGCUGCAAGAGCUCCCCAGGAGGUUCUAAUGUGCGGCUUCCUUAGCUUGGCCCCCAAGUCCACCAUGGCCUACCUCCACCCACAGUUCCAUCUCACCUCCUGCUCCAGGAGAGCUGGAGGGUAUCUCUUACCUUUCUCUAUCCUGGGGUCUGUUACAGUCUUGAUGUUCAUUGACCUUAACUGGACAACUGCAGGAUGACAGCAAGUAUUAUCAAACAGCCAGAGCUGGUUUGAGGUCAUUAAGUACCCUGGAGUUGCAGUUUAAAGAAUUCCUUUGUAAUUAUUCACACUAUACUUCAGUGUAUUCCUCUUCUUAAUUCCAUGUUCAGGGCUGUUUCUGUAAAGUACUAGACAAACAAUUCCUCACCCUGCUUCGUAUUUGCACCUUUAAAGUAUUUAGAGACUGCUUUUAUAUCCUCACUUAGUCGUCACUUAACCAAGCAGUAUGCGUUUUGCUUCCACACUAUUAAUUUUGAAAUUCAUUCCUCUAUAAGGUGAUAACUUUUCAUGCAACAUUCCAUUCUUUUAUGUAGUUCUUAAAUUGUGGUUUUUCUGCUUCAAAGAACUAGAUUGUAAGCCAAUUGAAAAUAGCAAUUAUGACUUAACAAUUAUGACUUCAGAUUCAUCGUUACCCCUCCCAUGCUUGACACAGAACUGGGCGUAAAAUUUAGGGAGGGGAAGGAAGUAUGGAUUUGCCAAGACUACACAGGGACCACAGAUUCUGACUCCCCUUUCUGUUGUUCUUUUGUCCUGUUAACCUGUGUUUAAGAUGCUCAUAACUCCUACCACCAGGUGUUUUAGGUAUCAGUAUUUCUCUGAUUGAACCGUAAAUAAGCUUAUUCAAGAUGCAUUAUUCUUUGGUAAGAAAGAAAACCUAGGAGAAAAUGGAAUAUUUUGUAUUCUUUUACAUCUCUGGAAAAAGAUUGAUCAUAUCAUAUAACUUGAUGAGAAUUUACUGAAAAUCCAAAUGAUGCUUCUAUCAAGCAGUGUAAAUUGUCAUUCUGGAUCUGUAUUACAAGAAGCUGUAUUUGGCUGCAAUCCAAUGAAAUGUACCAAAAUGCAAUUUCCAAAGCAUUCAGAACUGUACCCUUCAUUUGAUUCUGUGCAUGCCCAUGUAGUUGCUAGAAAAUAUUCAUUAAUUUCUAUUACUGAGUGAAAUAAUUCAGAACCCACUUCAAUAAGUCCUUGAUGAUUCAUAGACAGCCUCCCCACUGACAGCUUCCUCAAGUGUCCAGUUCUGUUCUAAACACAGGUUUAAGUGGAAAUGGUCUUUCCCAGAGAGAGUAGCCCUUGAGCCCGGCAACAGUGAAAGCCACAAAACACCUAAAUUUCAGACAGAGAAGACUGUCAUUAGUUAUUAGGCAUAUUAUAAAGAAAAAGCCCUGUGUCAGUGGAGGAAUGCGUCAAGACCAGGCUAGCCAUUGAAAGCUGAGGAUCAUGGGAGGAUCAUGGGAGAAUCCUGGAUAUCCAAAGAGACAAGAAAGAAGAGAGUGGUGAAUAUUAAAAGCAGCAGGGAUAACAAGCCGUGGAAAUCAUAAAUUUGUUAUAGAUGUUGGGAUGGAAGCCAUGGAAAGACAGAAAAGAGAAUAGUUAUGUCAUCGGAAAGUGAGAAUCAAGUGGCACCAACACACCUUAGCGACCCCUGGAGCCAGCUACGUGUGCUCAUUAGCACAGUUAGUGUAGCUCUGCCACCUAGAGAGACCAUCACUCUACCUGCAGGACCAUUGACGAGCUGCAUCAUCUUCCUGUGGCCCACACCAUCCAUACCUUCGUCUGUAGCCUUAGCUCCAUGGAGGGCAUAGUAAACAGUUCAUAAUCAUAAAGAUGACCCAAAGGCAAAUCAAGAUAAAAAUGGCAUUUACUUUUCUCUGUUUCAGAAGCCGCAGAUGCAUAUAGUACAUUUUUGAAGAUUUCUAAUUCUUAAAACAUUUAGUAUAGACCCUCAAAGAAAACGAAACACAAAUGUACGAAGUUUCUAAUGAAACUGGGCGACACCUGUAACCCCAAGGUACAAAAUAAUGAAAAUGGAAAGCAGAUGGAUGUGAGAGGACAGUAAUAUCAAAUUUUGACUAAUUCACGUAUCUUUCAAUGGUUGAUGCAGACCAUGUGCCUAGGAAUACCUGUGAUUUCAUCUCCAGGCCAACUUGAAAUUUUUUUCCCAAGUACAAUUUUCCAGACCAUUACAUUGAGUCUUCUCCUAAAGUAGGAAUAAAUAAUUGGCUCUUUCUCAAUAUCAAUUAAAGCUAUUCUGUCAGGGGAAGCUAUUGAUCCAAUCUUCUGUGAUCUGAUCUUGCUCAAGAAACAGGAAACAUAACUUUUAACCUCUGGCUUCUCACAUGUUUCCCCCCAGUGCCAGCCUCAAGUUUUUUAUUUAAUUUAAUACUUUUACACGGAAGAUAAGAUGCCCCUAUCGUUUACUUCCCCUAUACAGCCUGUCCUGUUUUUUUUUCAGAAUGGUGAUAAAUUAAGCUUGCAUUCACACAAAAACUCUUUCACUAAUUCCUUUCAAGUCAAUUCAUUUAUAAUAUAACACACCAAAAAGUACUCAAAGAAUGUCAAUACUGGGCAAUAGCAUUAAGCUUAAAUGACCAUUAAUUUCAUCCUUUUUCUCCUAUCUUUUUUCCUUGAUAUCAAUAUCAUGAACUGUUUAAUCCCCCAACUCUGCUUAACCUUUUUAUACGUUGCGGAAGAUGCUUCUGUCACUCAGGAUGUGAGGCUAAAAAGGAAUUCUAACGGUUGAACCCUUGCAGCUUCUUUAAUGAGCCUGGCUGAUCUUUAACCCAAGAAAUUGGUGGUCCAUCUGUUCGAGAGGAGCUUGACUCCUGCAAUCGUUUGGCUCACAUCACAGAAGGCGUUUCAACACACAUCCUCCAUCUGGUCAGUGCUGCUUGCUCAUCUGAAAAGAGACUUGGGGAUGUGGGGGAGAGCGAUGUUUCCAGUUAACAGUAAUUAUUUCUAAAAGCUCUCAGCUUCCUUCCACGUUUCGUCCUCCUUCUGACACUUGCAUUUCCUGAGGAGGACAUUCAGAAAAUGAGCUUAUCAGUAGAAUCUUUAGACUGUUUAUAAGAAAGAUGUUUCCUCAGUUAGGCAACCUUGGUUUUGCUUUUUGGUUUUCUGUUUGUCACUUCUUCUACUCAAUUGUUGUGGGUUCCAACCCCAAUCAUUUGAUUUUCCUAGGUACAUUGCCCAUAUCUGAAGUAUGUGUGAUGAAAUGGUGAUCUCACUAAGCCCGCAUCUGAACUAACCCAACCUCUCUAACUGUUUUAUCUGUCUUGAUGAUCGAUAAAGGUUGUGCACGUCAAUCCAUGAUACAUCUGUCUGUUAAUCAAAGACAGAUUUAAUUAACAAAUCUUAUUUUUUUAUUAAUGUGGAUAAAAUUGUUAGAUUCCCUGCUUCAUGGAUGUGAUCAUUUUGAAGCUCAGAUAAUCAUAUACAGAUAAAGGAUUAUCAUCAAGGAUACUCCUUUUGCUAACUUAAAUUAAGAUGGCACUCUCAAAAUGUGGUAUGUGUUUACAAUGGAAUAUUAUCCAGCUUUAACAAAGGACAUCCUACCAUUUGCAAAAACAUGGAUGAACCUGAAAGACGUUGUGCUAAGUGAAAUAAACUGGACACAGAAAGACAAAUACUGCGUGAUCUCAUUUAUAGGUGAAAUCUAAAAUAGAUUCAUGGAAGCAGGGAACAGAAUGGUGGUUGCCAGGGUUGAGAGGUGGGAGAAAUAGAGAGAUAUUAGUCAAAGAAUAAUAUAAAGCUGCAUUUAUGCAAGAAGAAUAAGUUCUGGAGAUCUAAUGUACAACAUGGUGACUAUAGUUAACGAUACCAUAUUAUAUAUUUGAAAUUUGCUAAGAGGGUAGGUUGUAAGUGUUCUCACCACAAAAAAAAGAAAGAGAAGGAAAGAAAAUGAUAGCUAUGUGCAGUGAUGGAUAGUGAAUUAGUUUGUGCUGAUUAUUUCACAAUGUGUGUGUGUGUGUAUAUAUAUAUAUAUCAAAACAUCAAGAUGUACACCUUAAAUAUACACAAUUUCCAUAUGUGAAUUAUACCUUAACAAAGCUGGGGAAAAAGAGAGAGCACUCUUUCCCUACUGGUCUCUGAUGCAAAUGGAUGAGGGAAGUUGAACACUUGUCUAGGAUAACUUACGUGCAGUCCUGCCUGUAAGCAGAUGAUGCCUUCAGCUUCGUUGCCGCCGAGGUCCUCCUCGGGUAGGUAAAGGCUGUUCUGAAGCCGGGGCAGUUUUAGGCAUUAUGUGACCCCCUCAACAGACUGUGGGUCAUAGUGAACAGAAGUCAAGGGGGAAAGAUUUCUUCUGCGAGAAACAGCCUCUCCUGAGCCCUGCUAAAGAAAAUAAAACUCUGAACUCCAGGUUUCAGUUCAGUGGUAAUUAGUGAGGACUUCUGCCACAAAGACCUUACUUACCAUGCACCAUUAUAUUAAUCAAGCCUUGAAGUGCCCAAGCCAUGAAUCACCACUGCAUAAUCAAUGCUAAGUUUUUUAACAAAAAUAGCCCUUUCUACACUACACAGGCUUCGCAGAUCUGAACACAGUGACAACUAAAGGGGAGCUUGUGAGAAAUGUGUUCUCAGAUCAAAGCUCAGGAAGCCUAAUAGUGUAACGUUCCAAGAUGCUAAAAAUAUACUGCCACCUAGGGAUGAGUGUCACCUGACCUCACAGCUGAGAUACAAAAGCUGGAGCCCAGUUUAGAAGAUUGUUUUUCAGAUGUCUUGUCUGGCCAUGCUCAUUGGUCUUUGAACACAGAACCAUAUAUAUACACUGGCUGUUGGGAGGAAGCAUCAAUGCGUUUUCAAUGCCAUCUAAAAGGUGUCUCAGAAUAAAAUGUUUUCACUGCCUCAUCGUCAGCUCCAUGUGGUGGCGGUCCACUGUGCAGGGCAGAUGUUCUGCCACGGCUUUCUUUAUCACAAAGGUGUCGGAAGGAGCUUUGUGUCUGCAUAGACCUGGGUUCAAAUCCUGAUUCUAUCAUUUAUUAUGUUAGGGACCUUGAGCAAGUUUCAGAUCAUGAAUAAAGAGUGAGGAAUGUGGAUUGAUAAAGAACAGUGAGGGUGAGUGUAGGAGGCAGAAUAAUGGCCCCCAAAGAUGCCCACAGCCUAAUUCUCAGAACUUGUGAAUAUGUUACUUUACAUGGUAAAAGUAAUUUUCCCGGUGUGAUUAAAUUAAGGAGCUUGAGAUGGAGAAGUUAGCCUAGAUUAGGAUGGAUUCUUAGAAUCAGAGAACGUGUUCUGAUUCAGGUCAAAGUCAGAGAGAUGCGACUAUGGAAUAAUGGUCAGAGAGACGCAAUAUUGCUGGCUUUGAAGAUGGAAGAAAUGGGCUAUGAGCCAAGAGAUUCAGGCGGCCUCUACAACCUGGAAAUAAGGAAGCAGAAUCUCCCUUAGGGCUUCCAAAAAAGGGACACAGCCCUGCCAGCACCUUGAUUUGAGCCCAGGGAGACCUGUGGCAGACUUCUGACCCACAGAACUAUAAAAUUAUCAAUUUGUGCUGUUUCAAACCACCACGUUUGCUGUAAUUUGUUAUGGCAGCAAUAGAAAACUAAUAGAGUAGGUUUUCCCAGUGGAGAGAAUGGAAUAGCCAAAACCAGAGUCAAUUCGACCAUUUAAUGCAGCGCGCAUUUAUUGGAGGCCCACUGCUGACUUGCCAGGCCCUCUUCUAUGAAGGUGAGGAGAUGCUGCUGGUUGUGGCCUGUAUAAAAAACACGCCAAUAGGAGGACUAUGGGAAGUACCCCAAGAAGUACCUACGUGAGGAGAAAGACUGCCUCUGGUUUGGGCACAACUUAAUUCUUCCAAGCCGACUUUGAAGAAGGCAGUGAUGGGUGGGAAGAGUGUGUUGGGGUGGGGACAUAUAGAAGCCCGUGGGACAAGAGGUUCAGGUCAAGGAAGAAAAUAACCUGGUCAGGUCUAGUUGGCUUGGACACGUCAUCAGUGGUUCCCAAAUGCUGAUCCAUGAUGAAAUCUGCACCAGUGUUUUCUCAGAAAUGAGGAAAACAAGAACAAUGUAGUGAGUCCUUUCAUAAAACUAAAUUCAUUCCAUUUAAAUUCCUUACUUUUAUCCUGAGAUUAUUUUGGUAUUUCUAUUUUUUUUGGUAUUAAAAUUCCCUUUAACAAAAUGAUGGUGGGGUGCUUGUUGCCAUUAUUUUUGUUGUUGAAACCUUCUUACCUGGAAGAAUAAAAAGCUGGUAGACCUAUGUUGGUUUUCUCUGUGUGGGUGCUAGGGUGGAGAGGGGGCCCCUGAUCCACGAAAUGUAGAAGUCUGGAAGGCAGAGUGUUAUGGCAAAAGAUGAAUUGGGGGGAAUAAUAGGAGAUAAUGAGAUCCAGCUGGAUAGAUUCAUGCAACGUUAUUGCUGUAGUAGGAGUUUGGGCUUUAAUCUCUUGAGAAUAGAGAGCUGAUGGAUGUAUCAUUCAGUGACAUUCGAUGCUGUGUUCUAGGCAUUGUGUAAGGUGUAGGGAAAUCAUGUGGUGUGAGAUGAGAAUGAGAUUAUAACACACCUUACCUGGCUAGAGUGGUGGUCCAUGGAGGAUAAUAAUCAAAAGACUGUAUUUUUGAGGAUGGGAGGUGGUAUUGAAAGUGUGAUUGGCAGACAGACAGAAAAUUCUAGACAAUGGUUCUAAACCACAGCUGAUUCUCCCCCCAGGUCACAGGGACAUUUGGCAAUGUCUGGAGACCAUUUUGAUUGUCAUCACUGGGGUUGGGGGACUACUGGCAUUUAGUGGGUACAAGCCAUCCCACAAGCACAAGACGUCCCCUCACAACUGAGAAUUAUCAGGCCCCAAAUGUCAAUAAUGCCAAGGCUGAGAAACACUGCUCUACAGGAAGUUGGUUUCAAUACAAUAAAAUAACAGGAACUACUAUGCAUUCUGGGAUGUGGCAUUACAAGAUCAAUACAAUGUUUGAGGAAGGAAGGAAAGGAAAAUUUAUUGACAACUUUCUAUAUGUCAGGUACUCUCAUAUGCAGUAAAUCCUCUUUUACCAUCGCAAUAACCCCGGCUGGGUGUUAGUGUUUUCUCCCUCUUACAAAUGAGGAAACUGAGCGAAGGUUGUGAUUGACUUGCAGUCAGUUAAUGAUCGAGAUCAGAUUUGAACCUAGCCCUGUUCCAUUUAAUCACUCACCAAGGCCAGUUAUUGAUUAUUCCACUUCUGUCCAUCCCCACUGCCACUAUCUUAGUUCAAAGCCGCCGUUAUCUGUUGCCUGGGUUACAGAACGCAACAACCUCCUGCCGGCUUUCCUCUCAUCUCUUCUUCUGACUGUAGUCAGAGGAAGCUGUCUAAAGAGUGCUUCUGACCUCAUUGCUUUCCUGCUUAAAACCCUGUGGUGAGGAGGCACUGGCAGUUUCUCUACUGCACUAUGCUGGUGCUUGUUUUCUUCAUGUCCACAUCCUCCCCACAACUCACCCUCCCCCCAACACACACACACACCCCUGGUAACUCUUGCUCCAGUUCCUUCAGAAGUCACUUGCAGAGGAAGAGCUCCUCUGAUCCUCAAGGCUGAGGUAUGCCCUUUGCGUGUGCUCCCGUGGCCCCUGUGCAUGUCCCAUCAUUGUCUUUAUCACCCUUUGCGUCAGUGUCUCUCUUCUAGUAAAAUGUAAGCAACUUGGGAGCAAGGACAGUAUGAUUCCAAUGUGUCUCCUCAGCACUAGGCAUAUAGGAGGUGCCAAAGGAUACAUGUUGAGUGAAUGACCGCCACCAUCACUCUGUAUGAACACUGAGUUGGGGUCAGUAUUCUCCAGACACAGGAAGGCCACAUAAAAAGGCUUUCUCCCCCUAGGCACAAGGCGAUGAGGAUCUUGAAUAAGGUUUUGACCAUGAGGAAGGAAAGGAAAGAUGUGAAAUACACAAAAGAAACAAAUCUGUAAGGCUUGUUGACAGAUGGCAGUGUGGGAGGAUGGAGGGAGAUUACUGAUAAGGAUUCGUAAGUGAACAAGUAUGUAGGAGCAGGAUGCUCAGGUUGUCAUGAAUGAUAAUAUAGAAGCGUGCUUCUGUCCUGCAAAUUCUCAGUACAUGUUGAAUGAAUAAACUUGGAUGUUUUUCUUUAAGUUUGAGAGCCAUCUAAAUAGAACAUAGAUGGUAUAUUUAAAACCAUAGGAAUAAAUGAGAUCCCCUAGGGAGAAUGCCUAAUAAUGAAAAGGAAUGAGGCUAGGACCAAGCCCAGGGAACACAAACAAUUAUAGGUCAUUAAUGGAGGAGACUGGGAAUGGCACAAAAACCAGCUGAUGCCGAAAGGUAAGAGAAAACCAGCAGAGUGAGAGCAUGCUGUGGAAGCCAGGAGAGGAGAGUGUAGAAGAAAGAAGUGGUCAACUCAGGGCAGUGCUGCUGAGAGGCUGAGUAAGCUAAGGGCGAGAAGUGACUGUUUCACAAAGCUUUCCUUCCUGGCGAGUGGAAGAAGCAGGAGUGUAGCAGACCCUGAGAGGAGCAGAGACGAAUGCUAAAGGGGAAGACAUCUUGGUUUUUUGAGGCCCCAUUUCCAGGACCUGGUCCUGAAGACCUGGCCCUCCUAGUGUUUUCACUCCUUAUAGCACUUUGACUUUGUCUCCCUAAGCAAGAUAAGGCAAUUCAGCUAAUGAAGAAUAAAACCCUCCACUUGUCUGAGCGGUCCUACAGAGCCAGUGAAUGGCUUAUUCAGUAGCUUUAAUGGAUGAGCCAAUGAGGAGUGGUCCCAUCUUCUGAUGAACAGAAGCAGCUGUGGGGAUUGCCAUAAAAAACCUGAGACCUGAUCUCAGAUCCAGGCUGCUCUUUGAGACUCCUAAAUUAGUCCCAUACAGAACUUGCUCUGAUACCCAACCCAAUUGCUGCAUCCUCCCAAAAAUGGCAUCUUGGCUAAGAGACCCUGUCCAGACAAGUCAUGGUCCUCAAUAAGCCAUUACCCUUGCUUCUUCUCCAGACACACCCUUCCCAUGUGGGAGGCUGCUGGAACCACCCAGUGCAUGAAGGAGUGAGGAGACAAUUGAUGAUGUCUCCUUUUUCAUCUACUUUGCUCAGUGCAAGAGCCCUUUAAAAAAUACCUGCUAUUAGGGCUUUUCAAGUCAUUCAACCGACAAAAGGAAGUGAAGAACAGAAUUGUCUGAUUUUAAUUCUCCCAGCUGACCUAGGUGCCAUUCAGAGCAAAUGGAAGUAGUGUGUUAUAAUUCAAAUGCUGAUGGUCAUAAAACAUCACUAAUGACUAGAAUUCAGUCCCUUUCCAAUGAAUUUUAAGACCCCAUUUUUGGUGAAUGAAAGUAACUCAAAUAUUAAACUCCCAUUUAUAGGUUUUGGGGAAAUUUUGUAUGGCUCCAAGGUCGUCUCGGAAUAUAAGCUAACCAUGUACACACGUCACUUUGUGUAAGAAGUGGUGAUUAGGCAAGCAACCACGAGAUUAUAAGUUGCCUUCACAAAGACAGAAAUUUGGAAUGUUAUAGGGUCAGAUGCAUUUUGAUGGGACAUCUGUUGUUCUCUCCCUCAGAAAUAUAACAUUUUAUUUUUCCAUUAACCCCAAGCCCUGAAGUCAUUUCUCUCUCAGUUUUUUCUAGGACAACCAGGAGUUUUAGCCGAGAAAUGAUGGAUGAGAGCAGUUCGGCAUCAGUGAUGGGGGCUCUUGACAAAGACAAAAACAGCCUCCCCACUCAGUUCCCCUCCACUCCAUCCUUCAUACUGCAUCUCUAUCUCAAAGACGAUUUCUGAGGGAAAGAGGUGUUUUUAUGUGGGAAGUGGAAAAUGAUUUGUGGAGUAGGAGCAUGCAAUUGCGGAAUUCUUUAAAAUGACAGGUCCUCUUCCUGCACCCUCACCAGAAAGGGAGCUGUUGUUAUAAAGCAGACUCUGAAGAAAUGGAGUAUCUUUUAGCCUUUUGAAAAGACGUCUGUCUUAAUUGAGGACAACAUCAUUUAAGCCUCAAAUUUACGAUUUCUGAAUUAGGUGCAUUAGAUAAAACCUGACAAUCCAUUGGGAUCUAUACCAAUAUGGACACUGCCUCAUCUUAUCUUGAAUUCAAGCAUCUGUCUCCUUUUCCCCCCAGUAAGCUCUCAAAUCAUUUUUAUCUUUGAAAGUUGUCCGAUUCCUUCUUUUGUUUGAUUAGGGCCAAAUAAAUAAUAUGCAAAUCAUUCCCACUUACACCAUUUCUGUAAACAUACAUUCUCCACAAUCAUUACCUUGUCACCCUCGUCUUGCUCUGACUUUAUUUGUCACUGAAGAGCAAGAUAAGAUACCGAAUAAGUUUCACCAAGUGGUGUCAGCCCAGCUCAGCUCUGAGCUUUUCCCCUCAAUGACCUGCUCUGGCCCUCCUCUCUAAUGCUUGCCCCUGCCACUUCCCAUCUCAUGGACUCACUCCCUGGAUGCUUGCACGAAUUUAGUACUGGCCUCCAGGGAAUUACCCACAUCUUGUUACCAGUCAGCUGGUUUGCAGCUUUGCCUGCUUGCUCUGAAUAGGGCGUGAAGAGGGGUUCUAAUCUUCCCAGGGCUGUCCUCCAGGUGAAUUUGAUCUGCUUGGCUCCAGUAGAGUACGGCGUAAGCCACCUGCCCUCUGGUGGUUGUGGACAGCUCCCAGAGAUGCUCCUGUGCCAGGGGACUUAGUUUAGCCAUUGCAUCCUUCCAACCAGCAGCUCCUUCCUACCACCCUCCGAAGGGCCCCAUAACUGGAGCUCGCUGCUUCAGCAAAUCCGUUUGAGGAGUCUAAGAGCAAGAAAACGACUCUGUCAGUCUUCCUGGGUCAGCCCCCUGCCUCCACCAGGCCUGCUUCCAAUGGGCAUUGCAAACUGAAAAGUGCCCAACAGCCAAGCACUUCUCUUUGACAUUGAAAAGACAAGCGUUUUCCUUUCUUUCUCAGCAUGUGUGAAAAUCUUCAGACGCCAAACUUGGAAGGGUUGUUGGUUACUUAUGAGCCCGCUGUGAGCUAAAAAUCUUACCAAGGAUAGUUCACGCACACACACACAAAA